CCUACGGGAGGCAGCAGUAGGGAAUUUUCGUCAAUGGGCGCAAGCCUGAACGAGCGAUGCCGCGUGAGUGAAGAAGGCCUUCGGGUCGUAAAGCUCUGUUGCGGGGGAAAAAAGGCAGCAUCAGGAAAUGGGUGCUGACUGAUGGUGCCCCGCCAGAAGGUCACGGCUAACUACGUGCCAGCACCCGCGGUAAUACGUAGGUGGCGAGCGUUAUCCGGAAGGAUUGGGCGUAAGGGUUGCGCAGGCGGUCCUGCAAGUCUGGAGUGAAACGCAUGAGCUCAACUCAUGCAUGGCUUUGGAAACUGGAGGACUGGAGAGCAGGAGAGGGCGGUGGAACUCCAUGUGUAGCGGUAAAAUGCGUAGAUAUAUGGAAGAACACCAGUGGCGAAGGCGGCCGCCUGGCCUGUUGCUGACGCUGAGGCACGAAAGCGUGGGGAGCAAAUAGGAUUAGAUACCCCUGUAGUC
rnacentral:rRNA from 1 species